rnacentral:rRNA from 1 species
GACGAACGCUGGCGGCGUGCCUAAUACAUGCAAGUUGAGCGAUGAAGAUUGGUGCUUGCACCAAUUUGAAGAGCAGCGAACGGGUGAGUAACGCGUGGGGAAUCUGCCUUUGAGCGGGGGACAACAUUUGGAAACGAAUGCUAAUACCGCAUAACAACUUUAAACAUAAGUUUUAAGUUUGAAAGAUGCAAUUGCAUCACUCAAAGAUGAUCCCGCGUUGUAUUAGCUAGUUGGUGAGGUAAAGGCUCACCAGGGCGAUGAUACAUAGCCGACCUGAGAGGGUGGUCGGCCACAUUGGGACUGAGACACGGCCCAAAGUCCUACGGGAGGCAGCAGUAGGGAAUCUUCGGCAAUGGACGAAAGUCUGACCGAGCAACGCCGCGUGAGUGAAGAAGGUUUUCGGAUCGUAAAACUCUGUUGGUAGAGAAGAACGUUGGUGAGAGUGGAAAGCUCAUCAAGUGACGGUAACUACCCAGAAAGGGACGGCUAACUACGUG